rnacentral:rRNA from 1 species
AGAGUUUGAUCCUGGCUCAGGAUGAACGCUGGCGGCGUGCCUAACACAUGCAAGUCGAGCGAGAAGCUUUUAACGGACGCUUCGGUUGAAGUUAAGAGUGGAAAGCGGCGGACGGGUGAGUAACGCGUAGGCAACCUGCCCCUUGCAGAGGGAUAGCCUCGGGAAACCGGGAUUAAAACCACAUAAAUCCUUUUUAUCGCAUGAUAGAGAGGACAAAGAUUUAUCGGCAAGGGAUGGGCCUGCGUCUGAUUAGUUAGUUGGUGGGGUAACGGCCUACCAAGGCGACGAUCAGUAGCCGACCUGAGAGGGUGAACGGCCACAUUGGAACUGAGACACGGUCCAAACUCCUACGGGAGGCAGCAGUGGGGAAUCUUGCACAAUGGGCGAAAGCCUGAUGCAGCAACGCCGCGUGAGCGAAGAAGGCCUUUGGGUCGUAAAGCUCUGUCGGUAGGGAAGAAGGAAGUGACGGUACCUACCGAGGAAGCCCCGGCUAACUACGUGCCAGCAGCCGCGGU